GAUCAGAAGGGAGCAGACAGUCAGACCAGACAGGUUGACCUCUCCUGGAUCCUCCAGCCAUGCGGCUCCUCUGGGGGCUGGCUUGGGUGUUCAGCUUCUGUGCCUCAUCCCUGCAGAAGCCCAGGUUGCUCCUGUUUUCCCCUUCUGUGGUUAAUUUGGGGACUCCCCUGUCAGUGGGGGUACAGCUCCUGGAUGCCCCUCCAGGACAGGAGGUAAAAGGAUCAGUGUUCCUCAGAAACCCAAAGGGUGGUUCCUGCUCCCCAAAGAAGGACUUUAAGCUGAGCUCGGGAGAUGACUUUGUGCUGCUCAGCCUUGAGGUCCCACUGGAAGAUGUGAGGAGCUGUGGCCUCUUUGACCUGCGCAGAGCCCCCUACAUCCAGCUGGUAGCUCAGUCUCCGUGGCUAAGGAACACAGCUUUCAAAGCCACAGAGACUCAGGGUGUCAACUUGCUCUACUCUUCCCGACGAGGCCACAUCUUUGUGCAGACCGAUCAGCCUAUCUAUAAUCCGGGGCAGCGGGUUCGUUAUCGGGUCUUUGCACUGGAUCAAAAGAUGCGCCCAUCCACUGAUUUCCUCACCAUCACAGUGGAGAACUCCCAUGGCCUCCGUGUACUCAAGAAGGAGAUAUUUACUUCCACAUCCAUCUUACAAGAUACCUUCACCAUUCCAGACAUCUCAGAGCCUGGGACCUGGAAGAUCUCAGCUAGGUUCUCAGAUGGACUGGAGUCCAAUAGGAGCACCCACUUUGAAGUGAAGAAGUAUGUCCUUCCCAACUUCGAGGUGAAGAUUACUCCUUGGAAGCCAUAUAUCCUGAUGGUGCCCAGCAACAGUGAUGAAAUCCAAUUAGACAUCCAGGCCAGGUACAUCUAUGGGAAGCCCGUGCAGGGCGUGGCAUACACACGGUUUGCGCUCAUGGAUGAGCAAGGGAAGAGGACUUUCCUUCGGGGCCUAGAGACGCAGGCCAAGUUGGUGGAAGGCCGGACCCACAUUUCCAUCUCAAAGGACCAGUUCCAGGCUGCCCUGGAUAAAAUCAAUAUUGGGGUCAGAGACCUGGAGGGGCUGCGUCUCUAUGCUGCUACAGCUGUCAUUGAGUCUCCAGGAGGAGAGAUGGAGGAGGCAGAACUCACGUCCUGGCGCUUUGUAUCAUCUGCCUUUUCCUUGGAUCUCAGCCGCACUAAGCGGCAUCUCGUGCCUGGAGCCCACUUCCUGCUGCAGGCCUUGGUCAGAGAAAUAUCAGGCUCUGAAGCCUCUAACGUUAUUGUCAAAGUUUCUCCCACAUUGGUGUCAGGCUCUGAUUCCCAAGUCCUCAACGUUCAACAGAGCACCAAUAGAAUUGGCCAAGUCAGCAUUUCCUUCCCCAUCCCACCAACCGUCACAGGACUUCGGCUCUUGGUGUCUGCGGGCUCCCUCUACCCAAUGAUAGCCAGGCUCACCGUGCAAUCCCCACCUUCAAGAGGCACUGGCUUUCUUUCUAUUGAGCCACUAGACCCUCGGUCCCCUCGUGUGGGGGACACCUUUAUCCUAAACUUACAAGCUGUGGGCAUCCCUGCACCUACCUUCUCUCAUUACUACUACAUGAUCAUCUCCAGAGGCCAGAUCAUGGCUAUGAGUCGGGAGGCCCGGAGGACCGUGACCUCUGUCUCCGUGUUGGUGGACCAUCAGCUGGCUCCUUCAUUCUACUUCGUGGCUUACUUCUAUCACCAAGGACACCCGGUGGCCAACUCUCUGCUCAUCAACAUCCAGCCCAGGGACUGUGAGGGCAAGCUGCAAUUGAAGGUAGUUGGUGCCAAGGAGUAUCAUAAUGGGGACAUGAUGAAGCUCCGAAUUCAAACUGACUCCAAAGCCCUGGUGGCACUGGGAGCUGUGGACACCGCUCUGUAUGCUGUGGGCGGUUGGUCUCACAAACCCCUCGACAUGAGCAAGGUCUUUGAAGUAAUCAACAGCUACAAUGUUGGCUGUGGUCCUGGAGGUGGGGAUGAUGCCCCUCAGGUGUUCCAGGAUGCUGGUCUGGCCUUUUCUGAUGGUGAUCGACUAACUCAAACCAGAGAGGACCUGAGCUGUCCCAAGGAGAAGAAAAGUCGGCAAAAGAGAAAUGUUAACUUCCUGAAGGCUCUUAGUGAGAAGUUGGGCCAGUAUUCUUCUCCAGAUGCCAAGCGCUGCUGCCAAGACGGGAUGACGAAGCUGCCCAUGAAGCGUACCUGUGAGCAGCGGGCUGCCCGUGUGCCUCAGCAGGCCUGCCGUGAGCCCUUCUUGUCCUGUUGCAAGUUUGCUGAGGACCUUCGCAGGAACCAGACCAGGAGCCAGGCACCCCUUGCCCGAAAGGUCCGGGACAUGGUGAAUUUGAUAGAGGAAGAUGACAUUCUUGUGCGCACCUCCUUCCCAGAGAACUGGCUCUGGAGAGUGGAACCUGUAGACAGCUCCAAACUGUUGACAGUGCGGCUUCCUGAUUCUAUGACCACAUGGGAGAUUCAUGGUGUGAGCCUGUCCAAAAGCAAAGGUCUGUGUGUAGCCAAGCCAACUCGUGUUCGAGUGUUCAGAAAAUUCCACCUUCACCUGCGCCUGCCCAUCUCCGUCCGCCGCUUUGAGCAGCUUGAAUUACGGCCUGUUCUCUACAACUAUCUGAAUGAUGACAAGAACAAGGAAGGAGCCAUCCACAGAGAAGAGAUAGUCUACAACCUCGACCCCCUAAAUAACCUAGGUCAGAUGUUGGAGAUACCUGGCAGCUCGGAUCCCAACAUAGUCCCUGAAGGAGACUUCAGCACCUUUGUCAAGGUUACAGCCUCUGAACCCUUGGAGACUCUGGGCUCUGAAGAAGCUUUGUCCCCAGGAGGCGUGGCCUCCCUCCUGAGGCUUCCCGGAGCUGCGCAGAGCAAACCAUGAUCUAUUUGGCUCCUACCCUGACUGCUUCCAACUACCUGGACAGGACAAAACAGUGGAGCAAACUGUCCCCUGAGACCAAGGACCAUGCUGUGCAUCUGAUCCAGAAAGGCCACGUUCGGAUCCAGCAGUUUCGGAAGAAAGAUGGCUCUUUUGGGGCUUGGUUACACCGGGACAGCAGCACCUGGCUGACUGCCUUUGUGCUGAAGAUUCUGAGUUUGGCCCAGGAACAGGUGGGCAACUCCCCGGAGAAGCUGCAGGAGACGGCUAGCUGGCUGCUGGCCCAGCAGCUGGGUGAUGGCUCCUUCCACGACCCAUGUCCAGUCAUCCACAGAGCAAUGCAGGGGGGCUUGGUGGGGUCCAAUGAGACGGUGGCACUGACCGCCUUUGUGGUCAUUGCCCUUCACCACGGGCUGAACGUCUUCCGGGAGGGGCAUGCGAAGCAGCUGAAGAACAGAGUGGAAGCCUCCAUCACCAAGGCAAACUCUUUCUUGGGGCAGAAGGCAAGUGCUGGGCUCCUGGGUGCCCAUGCCGCCGCCAUCACAGCCUAUGCCCUUACGCUGACCAAGGCCUCGGAGGACCUGCGGAAUGUUGCCCACAACAGCCUGAUGGCCAUGGCUGAGGAAACGGGGGAAAACCUCUACUGGGGCUUAGUCCUUGGCUCUCAGGACAAAGUUGUGUUGCGCCCCGCAGACCCCCGUAGCCCAACAGAACCUGUGCCCCAGGCCCCAGCCUUGUGGAUCGAAACCACAGCCUAUGCCCUGCUCCACCUGCUUCUGCGUGAGGGAAAGGGAAAAAUGGCUGACAAGGCUGCAUCCUGGCUCACCCACCAGGGAAACUUCCACGGGGCAUUCCGCAGUACCCAGGACACUGUGGUCACCCUGGAUGCCCUGUCUGCCUACUGGAUCGCUUCGCACACCACUGAGGAGAAAGCACUGAAGGUGACGCUCAGCUCCAUGGGCCGCAAUGGGCUCAAAACCCACGUGCUACACUUGAACAACCACCAAGUCAAGGGCCUGGAGGAGGAGCUGAAGUUCUCCCUGGGCAGCACAAUCAGUGUCAAGGUGGAAGGAAACAGCAAAGGCACCUUGAAGAUCCUUCGUACCUACAACGUCCUGGACAUGAAGAACACCACAUGCCAGGACCUUCAGAUAGAAGUGAAGGUCACAGACGCUGUGGAAUAUGCAUGGAGCGCCUACGAAGACUAUGAAGACGACUAUAACAUGCCAGCCACAGAUGAUCCCAGCGUUCCCUUGCAGCCUGUCACGCCCCUGCAGCUAUUUGAGGGUCGUCGGAGCCGCCGCAGGAGGGAGGCCCCCAAGGUGGCUGAAGAGCGGGAGUCCAGAGUUCACUACACUGUGUGUAUCUGGCGCAAUGGCAAGCUGGGGCUGUCUGGCAUGGCCAUCGCAGACAUCACCCUCCUGAGUGGAUUCCACGCCCUGAGGGCUGACCUGGAGAAGCUGACCUCUCUCUCUGACCGUUACGUGAGUCACUUUGAGACUGACGGGCCCCAUGUCCUGUUGUACUUUGACUCGGUCCCUACCACCCGGGAGUGUGUGGGCUUUGGAGCCUCACAGGAGGUGGUUGUGGGACUGGUGCAGCCAGCCAGCGCUGUCCUGUAUGACUACUACAGCCCUGAUCACAAGUGCUCUGUGUUUUAUGCUGCACCCACCAAGAGCCAGCUCCUGGCCACACUGUGCUCUGGAGAUGUAUGCCAGUGUGCCGAGGGGAAGUGCCCUCGACUGCUAAGGUCACUGGAGCGAAGGGUGGAGGACAAGGACGGCUACCGGAUGAGGUUCGCCUGCUAUUAUCACCAAGUGGAGUAUGGCUUCACGGUUAAGGUUCUUCGAGAAGAUGGCAGAGCUGCCUUCCGUUUCUUUGAGUCCAAGAUCACCCAAGUCCUGCAUUUCAGAACGGACACCAUGGCCUCCAUAGGUCAGACCCGCAACUUCCUGAGCCGGACCUCUUGCCGCCUUCGUUUGGAGCCUAACAAAGAGUACUUGAUCAUGGGGAUGGACGGGGAAACCAGUGACAACAAGGGAGACCCCCAGUACUUGCUGGACUCAAAUACCUGGAUUGAGGAGAUGCCUUCGGAACAAAUGUGCAAGAGCACCCGCCAUCGGGCAGCCUGUUUCCAGCUCAAAGACUUCCUGAUGGAGUUCAGCAGCCGGGGGUGCCAGGUGUGAGGCCUUAGGACUCUGGCUCUCUGAGCUCAGCUCAGGGUCAGGGCCUCGCUGGAUGAGGGGCUCUGCUCUACAGGGUAAAUAAAAGAAAAGCUUUUUGACAGCC
rnacentral:lncRNA from 1 species